AAGGAUUUAAGUUAAAUAAACUUGUAGCCUUCAAAGCUUCUAAUAAAGAUACCAAUUAAAAAUAC
rnacentral:tRNA from 1 species